GACGUAGGGCGCGAGCGUUGUCCGGAUUUAUUGGGCGUAAAGAGCUCGUAGGCGGCUUGUUGCGUCAGCUGUGAAAACCCGCAGCUCAACUGUGGGCUUGCAGCUGAUACGGGCAGGCUUGAGUUCGGUAGGGGAGACUGGAAUUCCUGGUGUAGCGGUGAAAUGCGUAGAUAUCGGGAGGAACACCAGUGGCGAAGGCGGCAUCCUGGCCAUGUCCUGACGCUCAGGGGCGAAAGCGUGGGGAGCAAACCGG
rnacentral:rRNA from 1 species